CAUCCGAACUUCUACAAUGAGCGGUCUCCAUCCGGCCUUCCACGACAAUCGAUCUCCAUCCAAACUUCUACAAUAAGCGGUCUCCAUUCGAGCUCCCACGGCAACCAAUCUCUAUCCGAGCUUCUACAGUAGAUGGAUUCUAGACGAACUUCUACAACGGACGGGCUCCAGCAGUCGGAUUUCUGCAGUGACCGACUGUCUCCAG
rnacentral:lncRNA from 1 species